rnacentral:rRNA from 1 species
UACAGAGGAGCCAAGCGUUGUCCGGAUUGACUGGGCGUAAAGCGCACGUAGGCGGCCCUGUAAGUCCGUUGUGAAAGUCAAAGGCUCAACCUUUGAAAGCCGAUGGAUACUGCAGGGCUAGAGUCCGGAAGAGGCGAGUGGAAUUCCUGGUGUAGCGGUGGAAUGCGCAGAUAUCAGGAGGAACACCAAUAGCGAAGGCAGCUCGCUGGGACGGUACUGACGCUAAGGCGCGAAAGCGUGGGGAGCGAACAGG